rfam:Acidovorax citrulli AAC00-1, complete genome.
CCUCUUCGAUCUGCUGCGGGCAGAUGAAGUGGAUGUGGCUGUCGAUGCCGCCGGCCGUGACGAUGUUGCCUUCGCAACUGAUGAUCUCGGUGCCGGGGCCGAUGACGAUGUCCACGCCGGGCUGGGUGUCGGGGUUGCCGGCCUUGCCGAUGGCGGCGACACGGCCGUCCUUCAGGCCGAUGUCGGCCUUGACGAUGCCCCAGUGGUCGAUGACGAGGGCGUUGGUGAGCACGGUGUCCAUCGCCCCUUCUGCACGGGUGCGCUGGCUCUGGGCCAUGCCGUCGCGGAUG